AGUCGCCAUGUUGUUUCACCCAAAACAAGAACGCCACAGAACUGAGAGUUCGAGAUGCCGUCUUGUGCUGCUAUUAAUUGCACAAAUCGUGAUACUCGUGAAAAUCGCGAGGGACUUACAUUUCACAGAUGUCCACACUGCAAUGUUCAACUUCUAAAGCAAUGGGUAGUAAAUAUACAGAGAGACAGGUGGAUUCCUGCAGCCAGAUCGCAACUCUGUUCAAGUCAUUUCACCGAGGAGAACUUGGACAGGACCGGCCAGACUGUUAGAUUAUGACAAAAUGCAGUUCCAACAAUAUUUGAAUUUCCUGAUCAUCUUCUAAAGGGUGGCGCCAUAUCACUUCACACCAUAUCACAUUCUGUCAAUGUCAACUUCCUGGUUUUCACACCAUUCGCGUGUACGUGAUGAAGACUCCCGCAUCUUCUUCCGCUGAAGAACACACGUAAACAAGAUGGCCGCGGCAGAACUGGACUCGUGGGACCAAAUGGCGGGGGGGUUAAGUCACUGUUGAAAUAGUCCACUGCUGGUGGGGAUGUCAUACAACUUCAUGUCAAAAAAUUUGAACUAUCCCUUUAACCAGCUCAUAAACGACUGCAUUUUCCAGUUCACUGGUAAUUGAAUUUAUAUUCCCACCAAGAAUGUUGCAGACAAAAAAUUCAUUCAUUAAGUUCAGGGGUGUCCAAACUUUUUCCAGCGAGGGCCACAUAGUGAAAAAUGAAAGGAUGCAAGGGCCACGAUAUUUUGUAAAGAUAUGCUAAGAAGUAGGGCUGAGCCGGAUACUCGUUUUAGACGAUAAUGCAUUUUUGCCGAGUACGAGCAUGAAGUGAGUACAGCUUGUCUGUACUCGCGCUGAAGGAAAUUCCUAAUUGGGCAACAACUUAUGUCUUCACUCUUCACACUCAACCACCGAUCGAUCUAUGUUCCCACCCUCACCUAUGGUCAUGAGCUUUGGCUAGCUCAGUCAUCCGGGAGGGGCUCAGAGUAGAGCCGCUGCUCCUUCACAUGGAGAGGAGCCAGUUGAGGUGGCUCGGGCAUCUAGUACGGAUGCCUCCCGGAUGCCUCACUGGCGAAGUGUUCCGGGCAUGCCCAGCCGGGAGAAGGCCCUGGGGCAGACCUAGGACACGCUGACGCUGAAGUUUGGGCUUCCCUACUGAAACUGCUGCCCCCACGACCUGGACCCGGAUAAGCGGAGGAAAAUGGAUGGAUGGAUGUACUUUUAAACACGCAAUUUAAAUCCAUUAAUGGUUUUUCUGUAAUUCACUUUAAUGCUCGAAGCUUACAAGCAAACUGUGAAAAUAAAGAACAAAAUCUGACACUUCUUGACAGUUCCUCUGAUGUCAUAGCAAUCUCUGAAACUUGGCAUACAGAUAAUAAUUUGGGAAACAA